rnacentral:rRNA from 1 species
UCACCAAGGCGACGACGGGUAGCUGGUCUGAGAGGAUGGCCAGCCACAUUGGGACUGAGACACGGCCCAGACUCCUACGGGAGGCAGCAGUGGGGAAUAUUGCGCAAUGGACGAAAGUCUGACGCAGCGACGCCGCGUGUGGGAUGACGGUCUUCGGAUUGUAAACCACUGUCGGGAGGGACGAAUACGCCGCAAGGCGGGUGACGGUACUUUCAGAAGAAGGUGCGGCCAACUACGUGCCAGCAGCCGCGGUGACACGUAGGCACCAAGCGUUGUCCGGAUUUAUUGGGCGUAAAGAGCUCGUAGGCGGUUCAGUAAGUCGGGUGUGAAAACUUUGGGCUUAACCCAAAGCGUGCAUCCGAUACUGCUGUGACUUGAGUACGGUAGGGGAGCGGGGAAUUCCUAGUGUAGCGGUGAAAUGCGCAGAUAUUAGGAGGAACACCGGUGGCGAAGGCGCCGCUCUGGGCCGAAACUGACGCUGAGGAGCGAAAGCAUGGGUAGCAAACAGGAUUAGAUACCCUGGUAGUCCAUGCCGUAAACGUUGGGCACU